GGCCUUCUGGACAGUACUGACGCUGAGAUGCGAAAGCGUGGGGAGCAAACAGGAUUAGAUACCUGGUAGUCCACGCUGUAAACGAUGUCGAUUUGGAGUUUGUUGCCUAGAGUGAUGGGCUCCGAAGCUAACGCGAUAAAUCGACCGCUGGGGAGUACGGCCGCAAGGUUAAAACUCAAAUGAAUUGACGGGGGCCCGCACAAGCGGUGGAGCAUGUGGUUUAAUUCGAUGCAACGCGAAGAACCUUACCUGGUCUUGACAUCCAUAGAAUUCUGCAGAGAUGUGGGAGUGCCUUCGGGAACUAUGAGACAGGUGCUGCAUGGCUGUCGUCAGCUCGUGUUGUGAAAUGUUGGGUUAAGUCCCGCAACGAGCGCAACCCUUAUUCUUUGUUGCCAGCGAUUUGGUCGGGAACUCAAAGGAGACUGCCGUUGAUAAAGCGGAGGAAGGUGGGGACGACGUCAAGUCAUCAUGGCCCUUACGACCAGGGCUACACACGUGCUACAAUGGCGUAUACAAAGGGAAGCGAAGGUGCGAGCUGGAGCGGAUCUCAUAAAGUACGUCUAAGUUCGGAUUGGAGUCUGCAACUCGACUCCAUGAAGUCGGAAUCGCUAGUAAUCGUAGAUCAGAAUGCUACGGUGAAUACGUUCCCGGGCCUUGUACACACCGCCCGUCACACCAUGGGAGUGGGUUGCACCAGAAGUAGAUAGCUUAACCGCGAGGGGGGCGUUUACCACGGUGUGAUUCAUGACUGGGGUGAAGUCGUAACAAGGUAACCA
rnacentral:rRNA from 1 species